GAGGGUAUAGCUCAGUGGUAGAGCACAUGCUUAGCAUGCAGGAGGUCCUGGGAUCAAUCCCCAGUACCGCCA
rnacentral:tRNA from 1 species